rnacentral:ncRNA from 1 species
CUCGCAACUUACACAUGCAAGUAUCAGCACUCCCGUGAGUAACGCCUCUUAAACCUUUUCCAGGUUUAAGAAGCUGGUAUCAGGCACAUUCAUGCCCACAACACCAAGUCUCACCACGCCCCCAAGGGUAUUCAGCAGUGAUAAAUAUUGUUUAUAAGCGACAGCUUGACUCAAUUAAAGAGAAGAGAGCCGGCCAAUCUAGUGCCAGCCGCCGCGGCUACACCAGAGGCUCAAGUUAAUAAUCACCGGCGUCAAGCGUGAUUAGGGAUUUAAUAAAACUAGGGUUAAAUUAAUGCUUAGUUGUGAUAAGCUUGCCAUUAAGAAAAACAUGAACGAAAGUCACCCUAUUUAUAUACUUGAAUACACGACAGCUGAGAACACAAACUGGGAUUAGAUACCCCACUAUGCUCAGCCGUAAACAAUUAAAUUACACCAACCAACGCCAGGGAAUUACGAGCUAAGCUUAAAACCCAAAGGAUUUGACGGUGUCCCACCCCCCUAGAGGAGCCUGUUCUAUAAUCGAUAAUCCCCGCUAUACCUCACCACUGCUAGCUACUCAGUCUGUAUACCUCCGUCGAAAGCUUACCAUAUGAAUGCCCUCAGUAAGCAUAACGAUUCCCGUCAACACGUCAGGUCAAGGUGCAGCUCACGCAGUGGAAAGAAAUGGGCUACAAUUUCUAAUCUAGAACAAACGAAAAACUAUAUGCAACCAUAGUCAUGAAGGUGGAUUUACUAGUAAAAAGAAAAUAGAGUGUUCUUUUUAACUUGGCUCUGGGACGUGUACAAACCGCCCGUCACCCUCUUCAACAUACUUUUACCCCCCAGUCUAUAACCCCACAUCCACUUUUUAGAAGA